rnacentral:rRNA from 1 species
UCAAGCGACUAAGUGUAUGUGGUGGAUGCCUUGGCGAUUACAGGCGAUGAAGGACGUCGCAGCCUGCGAAAAGCCGUGGGGAGCUGGCAAGCGAGCACUGAUCCACGGAUGUCCGAAUGAGGGAACUCACCCGCAAGGGUAUCUUGAAGUGAAUACAUAGCUUCAAGAGGCGAACGCAGCGAACUGAAACAUCUAAGUAGCUGCAGGAAAAGAAAUCAACCGAGAUUCUGAAAGUAGCGGCGAGCGAAAUUGGAAGAGCCUGCAAGUGAUAUUGAAUUCGAUACUGGAACGGUCUGGAAAGUCCGGCUACAGAGGGUGAUAGCCCCGUACGGGAAAUUGGGUUCAAGGUACUGAGCUUGCGAGAAGUAGAGCGGGACACGUGAAAUCCUGCUCGAAGAUGGGGGGACCAUCCUCCAAGGCUAAAUACUCGUAAUCGACCGAUAGCGAACCAGUACUGUGAAGGAAAGGCGAAAAGAACCCCGGGAGGGGAGUGAAAUAGAUCCUGAAACCGCAUACAUACAAACAGUAGGAGCCCGCAAGGGUGACUGCGUACCUUUUGCAUAAUGGGUCAGCGACUUACGUUCAAUGGCAAGCUUAACCGAGUAGGGGAGGCGCAGCGAAAGCGAGUCCGAACAGGGCGACAUGAGUCGUUGGGCGUAGACCCGAAACCAGAUGAUCUAUCCAUGGCCAGGCUGAAGGUGUGGUAACACACACUGGAGGGCCGAACCGACUAGUGUUGCAAAAUUAGCGGAUGAGCUGUGGAUAGGGGUGAAAGGCUAAACAAAUCUGGAGAUAGCUGGUUCUCCCCGAAAACUAUUGAGGUAGUGCCUCGUGUAUGGCUCCAGGGGGUAGAGCACUGUUAUGGCUAGGGGGACAUGGCGUCUUACCAAACCAUGGCAAACUCCGAAUACUUGGAAGUCUGAGCACGGGAGACAGAGCACCGGGUGCUAACGUCCGGACUCAAAAGGGAAACAACCCAGACCGCCGGCUAAGGUCCCUAAUAUUGACUAAGUGGAAAACGAAGUGGGAAGGCUAAGACAGUCAGGAAGUUGGCUUAGAAGCAGCCAUCCUUCAAAGAAAGCGUAAUAGCUCACUGAUCGAGUCUGCCUGCGCGGAAGAUGUAACGGGGCUAAGUCAAUAACCGAAGCCGCGGAUUCGCAGCAAUGCGAGUGGUAGGGGAGCGUUCUGUAAGCCUGCGAAGGCGGAUCUGUGAGGACCGCUGGAGGUAUCAGAAGUGCGAAUGCUGACAUGAGUAACGUUAAAGCGGGUGAAAAGCCCGCUCGCCGCAAGCCCAAGGUUUCCUGCUCUACGUUCAUCGGAGCAGGGUGAGUCGGCCCCUAAGGUCAGGCUGAGAAGCGUAGCUGAUGGGAAGCUGGUUAAUAUUCCAGCACCGAUUUCAAGUGCGAAGGGGGGACGGAGUCCUGAAGGUCAUCCGGGUGUUGGAUAUCCCGGUUUACGAGCGUAGGAGGUUGACAGGCAAAUCCGUCAACGGAUCUCCAAGGCGAAGGAUCGAGGUUGAGAGAUCAACUGAAGUGACUGAAUGGGCUUCCAGGAAAAGCCUCUAAGCAUCAGCUUGGAAUUGACCGUACCGCAAACCGACACUGGUGGGCGAGCUGAAUAUGCUCAGGCGCUUGAGAGAACUCAGGAGAAGGAACUCGGCAAAUUGACCCCGUAACUUCGGGAUAAGGUGUGCCUUUGUAGUGUGAAGAGAGAAACACUCCGAGCAUGAAGAGGCCUCAGAGAAUCGGUGGCUGCAACUGUUUACUAAAAACACAGCACUCUGCAAAGAUGAAAGUCGACGUAUAGGGUGUGAUGCCUGCCCGGUGCUGGAAGAUUAAUUGAUGGGGUGCAAGCUCCUGAUCGAAGUCCCAGUAAACGGCGGCCGUAACUAUAACGGUCCUAAGGUAGCGAAAUUCCUUGUC